rnacentral:tRNA from 1 species
UAGCUCAGUUGGUAGAGCAUGGUGCUUGUAACACCAGGGUAUUGGGUUUGAUUCCCAU